rnacentral:tRNA from 1 species
GGCCCCGUAGCUCAGCGGUUAGAGCAAGCGACUCAUAAUCGCCAGGUCCUCGGUUCGAAUCCGGGCGGGGCUA